rfam:Triticum aestivum genome assembly, contig: Triticum_aestivum_CS42_TGACv1_scaffold_030959_1BL
AUUGUACUCCCUCCGUUCGGAAUUACUUGUCAUCAAAAUGAAUGAAAAUUAAUGUAUCUAGAUAUAAAAUACAUUUAGAUACAUCCAUUUCAAUGACAAGUAUUUACGGACGGACGGAGUAGUUG